rnacentral:rRNA from 1 species
GAUGAACGCUGGCGGCGUGCCUAAUACAUGCAAGUCGAGCGAACGGACGAGAAGCUUGCUUCUCUGAUGUUAGCGGCGGACGGGUGAGUAACACGUGGAUAACCUACCUAUAAGACUGGGAUAACUUCGGGAAACCGGAGCUAAUACCGGAUAAUAUUUUGAACCGCAUGGUUCAAAAGUGAAAGACGGUCCUGCUGUCACUUAUAGAUGGAUCCGCGCUGCAUUAGCUAGUUGGUAAGGUAACGGCUUACCAAGGCAACGAUGCAUAGCCGACCUGAGAGGGUGAUCGGCCACACUGGAACUGAGACACGGUCCAGACUCCUACGGGAGGCAGCAGUAGGGAAUCUUCCGCAAUGGGCGAAAGCCUGACGGAGCAACGCCGCGUGAGUGAUGAAGGUCCUCGGAUCGUAAAACUCUGUUAUUAGGGAAGAACAUAUGUGUAAGUAACUGUGCACAUCUUGACGGUACCUAAUCAGAAAGCCACGGCUAACUACGUG